GGGGGUUACAUUAUUACAAAACAGCAUAAGGUAGAGUCAUUUGAUUUUGCAAUUGUUGCCUGAGGUUAGAAUAGACCCAUGUGCCAGACACGUUUGGUUAAUGGAUGAGACACGCAAUCAAAAUAUAUAAUUCCCGACCCACCAAGGUGUGCGUUACAUCGCGGACAUGUAGCCAUUGUCCAGGCAUAUCCAGGAUACCAGGUGAAAUGUUUGUCCGCAGGCCAGUGCUUGACAACGUCUGCCUUUCUGAAAGUCAUGACUUCAAACUGGUAGCCCUGUGGGUUUUCGAACCGCUGGACGGGCACUCUUCUUUCUCCAACAACCGUAUCAUUUCUAUAAGAGAGCGCAAGUCGACUGUGGAUAAAGUUGGCAUCUUUCUCAAAAGCCAAUUCAUGUCCACAGGACCUGCAGAGUAACAAGUUACCGACUUCAUCGCCAACACAGGAUUCGACGAGUUUAAAGUCGCACAGAAAUGCAGUGAAAAACAUAAGUGUUUGUAGCCGAAUUCCCCACGGCUGUCUCUCUCUGACCGCCAUUGUUGGCAACAAUGUAGCAACUCGAAUCGCAUAUUUAUAUUUGUGUAUCAUUAUUGUAUGUGCGCAAUCAUGCAAAUAUAUUUUACACCUAGAUGCAAAUCGGGAACGAGCGAGUUCGGAAGAAAUACGAGAGUAGUCGGAAAUGGCGCUUCCUUACAGCCGAUUCAUAUAUUUAUAGACAUCUCAAAUUUGGUUCGUUCGAAAACCUCCCACAUUAACUGGAAAACCACGUAAUGUUUACAAGAACCGGCGUCAAGAUCGAAUGAAUCCCCUAUGGCUUUGCGCCGUCUACAGGUAGGGGGUGGCAUUUCAAGGAAAUAUUACGUGUUGAGUGUAAUAUUCAUGUGUAAAUAUACUGAAUUAUAAUUGGAUGCAUUUUACCGCCAUAUCAUACUGUGCUAUGAUUGGUUAAGACCACCCAAAUGGUUAGGUCAUGGUCCGUUUGAUCCUGGUUGGAGAUACGUGAACAUGCCAGUUAUAGCUAGCUAAUAAAGAGCUACGUUAAUAAAUAUCCUGUAGUACUGCAUUUUAUUAUUUUGUACAAAGUGUGCAAAAUAAGACCUUGAGGACGUCCUGUUACUACUGGCAACGUAAACUCGAACGUGGGUUCAACGAAUGUCCUCCAAUCACAGACAGGUGUCGUUACAAAUCGGUUAUGAACGAGCCAAUUGCGUACGAGAUGACCGGAUCGUGUCCCGUCAGCAGAGAUUCAGUAGAUGGAGCUACGAUUCCAGAAUCAGUUGAAGAACAUGAAGGAGAGACUGGAACAAUCUGACUCUACCAAUCGCAGCCUGCAGAAUUAUGUUCAGUUUCUCAAAGCUUCAUAUAGUAAUGUGUUUGGUGACUCUGUGCUAUCAAGCUCUCUACACACACACUUACCAAUCUGAUUGAAUAGUGUAAGCCUUAUAUUGUAUGAGUUUGUGUACCAAUGAUCUAUUUGUUAUUUUCAGUAUAAACUGUAUACUGUUAAUCAAAACUAUGUUUCACUCUUUCACAAAUGACAAACUCACAACAUGUAUGAAAAAGAAAUAUUUAUCCAGUGUUUUUCCACAGUAUUUUCCAUAGACACAUAAAAAAAUAUAUAUGUUUUGA